UUGCCAAGAUAUUACCAUUGGAAGUUAUGUCCUGAACCGCUCCCAUGCUUCUCCAAAAGUUUCAUUUGAGUGUUGUGUGAAACUAGAGAUCUGGUUUCUAAGCUU
rfam:Eutrema salsugineum unplaced genomic scaffold scaffold_23, whole genome shotgun sequence.